ensembl:lncRNA
UUUUUUUUCACACACUGAACACGCUGUUUAUCUUGGAAAUUUCUCACAUUAAAAGUCCACUACGUAACUUUUAUUCCUCUAGCUAGCGGUUAAAAUACAAAAAAAGUAACUCGCGGAGGAAGAUUGUUUUGCUCGUCACGUGAGUUGUGCUUCGGCGCGGACGAAUCUAAUGUUUUGAGGCGCCGCGCUGAUCGUGAUUACAGGUGAUCUUUUAUCGGCGGGAAUUUAAGUAACGAAAAACAAACUGAAACGAACGAAAGAUAGAUAUCUGAAAAUAUGUCUUAGGAACAGCUAACCUGAAAUGUGAACUCUGGGGCCUAAAAAUACAAGAUGUCCAUCUUAAAAUAUCGUCCCGGACCCCGGUUUGACCCUGGCAGGGCCUCAGGGUGGGGGAAAGGACAGUCGAGAUGAUACCCUGCAGCCGGGCCGAGUUACAGCGAGCCAUGCGUCCUCCACGCAGUCAUUCGACACGAUGCAUGGAAACACAGUCUGACACACUCGCACUGGAAAAACACCAUGGGUUCAUAGCCAAGCAACAGCCAUCCGAGAUCAGGAUGAGUUUGUUUCUUCGUCAGAUUUGGAGAAAUGUAGCAUUGCAUCAGUGUCUCAGCAGUGAAUGAGAGUCCAAACAGCUGAUAAAAACAUCACAAUAAUCCACAAGCAAUCCAUGCCACUCCAGUCCAUCCAUUAACAUCUGGAGAAGAUCAUAUAGUCAUUGAGAGUCAUUGAGAUUUUUUUUAGAGCUGUUUUGUACUGUUUAAACAGCUUGAUCUGUACAGAUUUCUCUCCUGAUUCAGACCAGAGCAAUUUUUAACUGGAGGAAGCGUUAUGGAUUAUAGACUCGGACUUUAGACAGAAGCAAUGGUUUGGAGUUAAAAACAUCCUUACAACUGAAAUUUUAUUUUGCAUUAUGCAUUGCAUUGUUGUGUUUUACGGUGAAGGAAACGUUUGUAGACUUCACAGAAUAAAAAACUUACCAGUACA